CUCAACAACUUCUCUCUUGCUCAACAUAGAGCAAUAAGUUUUACAUUGAAGAAACUCUUUAAACCCUUAAAAUACUAAUAAUGCAAUAGUUAUAAAAUUGAAAAAGUGUUCCUCUUUCCAUUGCUCUCCUUUUAUUUACAUCUUUUCAAUCUGAGUUUAUUCUGCUUUGUUAGGGCAGCGAUUAUCCGAGAUAAUAUUGCCAUGGCUAUUAUGUGAUACCUAGAGAUUCCAAGUAUUUUUUCAUUCGCUUGAUGACUUUUGACCUGUUGGUCUUUUUUAGAUCACGUAGUUGGUUGUAUGUGGGUGGGCAAGGGAGUAAAGGGAUGAAUGUACAGGUGAAUGGCUGUACACAUUUAAUUGGGACUUUUAAUAGAACACCUUGUGGACUGUUCAAACAAGAGAGUGGAGAGCUGGGUAUCCUUGACAACAGUGUAGGUAUAUAGCAAAACAAAAGAAAGACCAGAAGAUUCACAGUAGGAGAUCUAAGCAAUAGUUCAUUGGGUGACAGCGGACAACCUUUUGGUGAAAGCCUCAAAAAUUUUCCAAUGUGUUUGUGAAAUAUGGAAAGAAUGAUCAGUGAAUAAAGAUAAGAACAAGCUUUUAGCACCAAUUAACUGGAUAUCAUAGAGCUGACUUCCCCAUAGGAAAAAAUAAGAGAUCUGUGUACCAUACAUAAAACAGACUAUAUUAAUUCAUCAAAAACGCAUUAUACAAUAAAAAUCCUGGAAUGCAAUAUACAAGCGCAUCUCAUGAAAGAAGACAUGCAAAUGACAAAUGAAGAGAGAGAUAUUCAACUAAGAAAAACGGCAAAUCAAAACAUUAUUAGAUGGAGUUAGUAGUAACAUAUUGAUAUUAAUAUCUCUGUUUUGACAAAUAUACAAAGAUUAUAUAAGAUGUUAAAAAUAAGGAAGACUCUUCUGUCUUUGCAAUUUUUAUAAAUCUAAAGUUAUUUUGAAAUAAAAAGUUUAUU